CUUGUUUGCGGCGUCAUCGGUGCCUCCCGAGGGAGGUGAAACGGGAACGCGGUGCGGGGAUAUGACCCCAACGCCGCGGCUGCCCCCGCAACUGUAAGCGGCCAUCCGCGUCCAUUCCGCUGCCGAACAUGCCGCGCAUGUGAGGAAAAUCGGAUCCGGAUAACGGCCGCGAGCCAGGAGACCGGCCGGCGACGCCUUCGGAGC
rnacentral:ncRNA from 2 species